rnacentral:rRNA from 1 species
GAUGAACGCUGGCGGCGUGCCUAAUACAUGCAAGUCGAGCGAACAGACGAGGAGCUUGCUCCUUUUACGUUAGCGGCGGACGGGUGAGUAACACGUGGGUAACCUACCUAUAAGACUGGGAUAACUUCGGGAAACCGGAGCUAAUACCGGAUAAUAUUUCGAACCGCAUGGUUCGAUAGUGAAAGAUGGCUUUGCUAUCACUUAUAGAUGGACCUUCGCCGUAUUAGCUAGUUGGUAAGGUAACGGCUUACCAAGGCAACGAUACGUAGCCGACCUGAGAGGGUGAUCGGCCACACUGGAACUGAGACACGGUCCAGACUCCUACGGGAGGCAGCAGUAGGGAAUCUUCCGCAAUGGGCGAAAGCCUGACGGAGCAACGCCGCGUGAGUGAUGAAGGUCUUCGGAUCGUAAAACUCUGUUAUUAGGGAAGAACAAACGUGUAAGUAACUGUGCACGUCUUGACGGUACCUAAUCAGAAAGCCACGGCUAACUACGUG